CACACCGCCCGUCACACCAUGGGAGUUGGCUUUACCCGAAGACGGUGCGCUAACCAGCAAUGGAGGCAGCCGGCCACGGUAAGGUCAGCGACUGGGGGUG
rnacentral:rRNA from 1 species